UACGUAGGCAGCAAGCGUUGUUCGGAGUUACUGGGCGUAAAGAGUGCGUAGGCGGUUUCGUAAGUUUGGUGUGAAAUCUCCCGGCUUAACUGGGAGGGUGCGCCGAAAACUGCGGGGCUGGAGUAGGGGAGAGGUAAGCGGAAUUCCUGGUGUAGCGGUGAAAUGCGUAGAUAUCAGGAGGAACACCGGCGGUGUAGACGGCUUACUGGACCCUGACUGACGCUGAGGCACGAAAGCGUGGGGAGCAAACAG
rnacentral:rRNA from 1 species